rnacentral:rRNA from 1 species
CCUACGGGAGGCAGCAGUGGGGAAUAUUGCACAAUGGGGGGAACCCUGAUGCAGCGACGCCGCGUGGGUGAAGGAGUAUUUCGGUAUGUAAAGCCCUAUCAGCAGGGAAGAACAAUGACGGUACCUGACUAAGAAGCACCGGCUAAAUACGUGCCAGCAGCCGCGGUAAUACGUAUGGUGCAAGCGUUAUCCGGAUUUACUGGGUGUAAAGGGAGCGCAGGCGGCGCGUUAAGCCUGGUGUGAAAGCCCGCGGCCCAACCGCGGGACUGCAUUGGGAACUGGCGCGCUGGAGUACAGGAGGGGCAGGCGGAAUUCCUGGUGUAGCGGUGAAAUGCGUAGAUAUCAGGAGGAACACCGGCGGCGAAGGCGGCCUGCUGGACUGAAACUGACGUUGAGGCUCGAAAGCGUGGGGAGCAAACAGGAUUAGAUACCCUAGUAGUC